rnacentral:rRNA from 1 species
CCUACGGGUGGCAGCAGUGGGGAAUAUUGGGCAAUGGGCGCAAGCCUGACCCAGCAACGCCGCGUGAAGGAAGAAGGCUUUCGGGUUGUAAACUUCUAUUAAGAGGGAAGAGCAGAAGACGGUACCUCUUGAAUAAGCCACGGCUAACUAUGUGCCAGCAGCCGCGGGAAUACGUAGGUGGCAAGCGUUGUGCGGAUGUACUGGGUGUAAAGGGCGUGGAGCCGGGCUGGCAAGUCUGAUGUGAAAUUACGGGGCUCAACCCCGGACCUGCAUUUGAAACUGGUGAUCUCGAGUGUCGGAGAGGCAGGCGGAAUUCCUAGUGUAGCGGUGAAAUGCGUAGAUAUUAGGAGGAACACCAGUGGCGAAGGCGGCCUACUGGACGACAACUGACGGUGAGGCGCGAAAGCGUGGGGAGCAAACAGGAUUAGAUACCCUGGUAGUC